rnacentral:lncRNA from 1 species
GAGUUGUGGGCAAAAGGUCUCCAGAACCAGACCAGCACAGGAGCAGUGACCACACCUGGUGUUUCCUCUCUGUAUUUUCCCAGUGGGGCUGGGAGUGCUUUCCAGGGAAAAGCUUUCAUUCCAUUCAGAGCUCUUGGUUGGCUCCUUUGGAUCAGAAACAGAACAGGGAGCCUGGUUGGUAGCAGAGCCUGGCUGCCCUGUCCCUGGGGUCUGACCGGGCUCUGCUCCUGUCCCGCAGUCCUGGCACAAGUCCUGCUUCCGCUGUGCCAAGUGUGGCAAAAGCCUGGAGUCCACCACGCUGGCAGACAAAGAUGGGGAGAUCUACUGCAAAGGUUGUUACGCCAAGAACUUCGGUCCCAAGGGCUUUGGCUUUGGGCAGGGCGCCGGGGCACUGAUCCACUCACAGUGAGCUCCAGGGCCGUGCCCUGCGCUCGCCCGGGGCUCAUCCCACGCCGCCCGCCCGCCCCACGCCGCAGUGAGUGCCCCAGUGUCACCCCUAGCCACCGCUGCUUCACAGCACCAGCCCCUCCUGCCCUGCCCCGGCGCUCCCCGGAGCCAGGGGGGUCCCAGCAUCGUCCCUGUGGGGUUCUGCUGGGGCAGGGGGCAAAGAGAGGCCGCUCCCUCCCACUGCAGCGAGGCCCCCGUGGCCAAGUCCUGCUCCGCGUUGCCUGUCCCGCCGGCCGUGAGCUCAGCCGUGACACCGAGCAAGCAAUAAAACAUCAGAGACAUCAAAGCUCAGCCAGGCCUGGCCCCAGCACUUACUCCUGUCUGGGGCUGAGGAUGGCACAGGUGCACAGAGCUGGGGAGGAGUUUGCAGUCCUGGCUUGUAAUUAAAGCCCAAUGGCAGGGAUGUGUUGGUGCGGUUUGACACGGCCCAGCUGUGGCCAGCUGAGUUCUGCAGCUCGGCUGGGAUGGGCUCCCCCUCUGCUCCCACCAAGAAUCAGCAUGGAAUAGUUUGGAUUGGAGGAGACCUUAAAGCUCAUCUUGUUCCACCUUCCACUAGCCCAGGUUGCUCCAAGCCCUGUCGUUGAACACUUCCGGGGAUGGGGAUAACUAUUCCAAGAGCAGAUGGUGCUGGGAGGCCAGGGACAGCCCUUCUGGGGUGUGUUGGUAACACCACAUGCGUGCUCACCCUCUCAAAACCCCUAUCAGUGCUUUUAGGUGGCACCUCUCCAAGCAGGCUGCCCAGCAGUGCCAAGUAAUUAACAGCUUUUCACCUACUCCCUGCUUUUUUAGCAGCUUGUGGAUCAUUAAACCUCCAGUUUGGCAGCUGCCCAGGUUUAAAUUGGUUUUCAUCUAAACUCUUCACUCCCUUUCUGUGAUUCUCCUGUUGGACCGGUGGGACAGACUCAGAUCAGCCCCACUGCAGCUCAGAGUUAGGGACUCCACAGGGAAUUGAGUUCUGGGGUUUCUAAAGUUACAAACAUUGUGGUUGAGAAAAUGAGAUGGGGAGUGUUCUGAGAAGCACAGCAGAGGCAGAAAUCCCGUUUUGGGGCAGGACUUGGGCUCGUUUAUCAACUUAAGUGCUUUCUCCAGUUCAUCACACCCUCAGUUUUACAUGGUGUUUUUGAAGUGGGGAUGGGGAGUUAAGUCUUUACCAUCUCCAAAAAUUCACCCCUUUAGACUGUAGCAGGAUUCACACAGCUCUGGGCUGUGUGGUGGCUGGGAUGAGGGGUCUGGUGGCACUUGGUGUGGGGGGCAGACAGCCCAGGCUCCGCUAGGGUUGGGAGCUGCAGCACAGAGGGUUCAGAUACCACCCUGCUGUGGAGACCCAAACCUGCCUCCCUUGGCAGAGGCCCAGCUUCUCCCCCACAGAGAUGUGUGGUGGGGGUUCUGGAAGCUGCUGCAGGGAUGGGGGGUCCGGAAGCUGCUGCAGAGGUGUGAGGUGGGGCUUCUGCAGGGAUGGAGGGCUCAGGAAGCCCCUGCCUUCUCUGUGAGUGUGCAGGGGAUGCUGUGCUGCUCCUGUGACAUCUCAGCUGGAUGUGUUCUAGGUGGGAUCAUGCCCAGGUAGUACUGGGUGGUCAAUAAAGCUACAAUGAGUCUUUAUUUAGCCGCUUUC